ACGAACUCUGGUAUUGAUUGGUGCUUGCAUCAUGAUUUACAUUUGAGUGAGUGGCGAACUGGUGAGUAACACGUGGGAAACCUGCCCAGAAGCGGGGGAUAACACCUGGAAACAGAUGCUAAUACCGCAUAACAACUUGGACCGCAUGGUCCGAGUUUGAAAGAUGGCUUCGGCUAUCACUUUUGGAUGGUCCCGCGGCGUAUUAGCUAGAUGGUGAGGUAACGGCUCACCAUGGCAAUGAUACGUAGCCGACCUGAGAGGGUAAUCGGCCACAUUGGGACUGAGACACGGCCCAAACUCCUACGGGAGGCAGCAGUAGGGAAUCUUCCACAAUGGACGAAAGUCUGAUGGUGCAACGCCGCGUGAGUGAAGAAGGGUUUCGGCUCGUAAAACUCUGUUGUUAAAGAAGAACAUAUCUGAGAGUAACUGUUCAGGUAUUGACGGUAUUUAACCAGAAAGCCACGGCUAACUACGUGCCAGCAGCCGCGGUAAUACGUAGGUGGCAAGCGUUGUCCGGAUUUAUUGGGCGUAAAGCGAGCGCAGGCGGUUUUUUAAGUCUGAUGUGAAAGCCUUCGGCUCAACCGAAGAAGUGCAUCGGAAACUGGGAAACUUGAGUGCAGAAGAGGACAGUGGAACUCCAUGUGUAGCGGUGAAAUGCGUAGAUAUAUGGAAGAACACCAGUGGCGAAGGCGGCUGUCUGGUCUGUAACUGACGCUGAGGCUCGAAAGUAUGGGUAGCAAACAGGAUUAGAUACCCUGGUAGUCCAUACCGUAAACGAUGAAUGCUAAGUGUUGGAGGGUUUCCGCCCUUCAGUGCUGCAGCUAACGCAUUAAGCAUUCCGCCUGGGGAGUACGGCCGCAAGGCUGAAACUCAAAGGAAUUGACGGGGGCCCGC
rnacentral:rRNA from 1 species